CCUGGACAAAGACUGACGCUCAGGUGCGAAAGCGUGGGGAGCAAACAGGAUUAGAUACCCUGGUAGUCCACGCUGUAAACGAUGUCGAUUUGAAGGUUGUUCCCUUGAGGAGUGGCUUUUGGAGCUAACGCGUUAAAUCGACCGCCUGGGGAGUACGGCCGCAAGGUUAAAACUCAAAUGAAUUGACGGGGGCCCGCACAAGCGGUGGAGCAUGUGGUUUAAUUCGAUGCAACGCGGAGAACCUUACCUACUCUUGACAUCCAGAGAACUUAGCAGAGAUGCUUUGGUGCCUUCGGGAACUCUGAGACAGGUGCUGCAUGGCUGUCGUCAGCUCGUGUUGUGAAAUGUUGGGUUAAGUCCCGCAACGAGCGCAACCCUUAUCCUUUGUUGCCAGCGAUUCGGUCGGGAACUCAAAGGAGACUGCCGGUGAUAAACCGGAGGAAGGUGGGGAUGACGUCAAGUCAUCCUGGCCCUUACGAGUAGGGCUACACACGUGCUACAAUGGCGUAUACAAAGAGAAGCGACCUCGCGAGAGCAAGCGGAACUCAUAAAGUACGUCGUAGUCCGGAUUGGAGUCUGCAACUCGACUCCAUGAAGUCGGAAUCGCUAGUAAUCGUAGAUCAGAAUGCUACGGUGAAUACGUUCCCGGGCCUUGUACACACCGCCCGUCACACCAUGGGAGUGGGUUGCAAAAGAAGUAGGUAGCUUAACCUUCGGGAGGGCGCUUACCACUUUGUGAUUCAUGACUGGGGUGAAGUCGUA
rnacentral:rRNA from 1 species